UGAGCAAGUGACGAUGAAACAGACAGGGACAUCAGUACUCAGCUUGAGAAUGAUGAUCGUCUGUUGGGAAUCUCUCUGAUGCUCU